rnacentral:rRNA from 1 species
AAAUUCCUGGUGUAGCGGUGGAAUGCGCAGAUAUCAGGAGGAACACCGAUGGCGAAGGCAGGUCUCUGGGCCGCAACUGACGCUGAGGAGCGAAAGCAUGGGGAGCGAACAGGAUUAGAUACCCUGGUAGUCCAUGCCGUAAACGUUGGGCACUAGGUGUGGGGCUCAUUCCACGAGUUCCGUGCCGCAGCAAACGCAUUAAGUGCCCCGCCUGGGGAGUACGGCCGCAAGGCUAAAACUCAAAGGAAUUGACGGGGGCCCGCACAAGCGGCGGAGCAUGCGGAUUAAUUCGAUGCAACGCGAAGAACCUUACCAAGGCUUGACAUGCACGGGAAGCCACCAGAGAUGGUGGUCUCUUUGGACACUCGUGCACAGGUGGUGCAUGGUUGUCGUCAGCUCGUGUCGUGAGAUGUUGGGUUAAGUCCCGCAACGAGCGCAACCCUCGUCCCAUGUUGCCAGCGGGUUAUGCCGGGGACUCAUGGGAGACUGCCGGGGUCAACUCGGAGGAAGGUGGGGAUGACGUCAAAUCAUCAUGCCCCUUAUGUCUUGGGCUUCACGCAUGCUACAAUGGCCGGUACAAAGGGCUGCGAUACCGUAAGGUGGAGCGAAUCCCAAAAAGCCGGUCUCAGUUCGGAUUGGGGUCUGCAACUCGACCCCAUGAAGUCGGAGUCGCUAGUAAUCGCAGAUCAGCAACGCUGCGGUGAAUACGUUCCCGGGCCUUGUACACACCGCCCGUCAAGUCACGAAAGUCGGUAACACCCGAAGCCCAUGGCCCAACCGUUCGCGGGGGGAGUGGUCGUAGAGUAAUAGAAAAACGGCC